rnacentral:rRNA from 1 species
GGAAUCUUGCACAAUGGGCGAAAGCCUGAUGCAGCGACGCCGCGUGGGGGAUGAAGGCCCUAGGGUCGUAAACCCCUUUCAGCAGGGACGAAAAUGACGGUACCUGCAGAAGAAGCCCCGGCCAACUACGUGCCAGCAGCCGCGGUAAGACGUAGGGGGCGAGCGUUGUCCGGAUUUAUUGGGCGUAAAGAGCUCGUAGGCGGUUGCGUAAGUCGGAUGUGAAAACUCAGGGCUCAACCCUGAGACGCCAUCCGAUACUGCGCUGACUUGAAUCCAGUAGGGGAGUGCGGAAUUCCUGGUGUAGCGGUGAAAUGCGCAGAUAUCAGGAGGAACACCCAUGGCGAAGGCAGCACUCUGGGCUGGUAUUGACGCUGAGGAGCGAAAGCAUGGGUAGCGAACAGGAUUAGAUACCCUAGUAGUCCCUGAGCGGGCUGGCAAGGCGCAU